AACAAGGUCUCCGUUGGUGAACCAGCGGAGGGAUCAUUGUUGGAACGCGCUCCGGCGCACCUCCAGACAACCCUUUGUGAACUUAUACCUAUACUGUUGCCUCGGCGUCAGGCUGGCUCCCCUCGGGGGGUCCCUCACCAUCUCGGUGAGGAGCAGGCCCGCCGGCGGCCAAGUUAACUCUUGUUUUUACACUGAAACUCUGAGAAUAAAACAAAAAUGAAUCAAAACUUUCAACAACGGAUCUCUUGGUUCUGGCAUCGAUGAAGAACGCAGCGAAAUGCGAUAAGUAAUGUGAAUUGCAGAAUUCAGUGAAUCAUCGAAUCUUUGAACGCACAUUGCGCCCUCUGGUAUUCCGGAGGGCAUGCCUGUUCGAGCGUCAUUUCAACCCUCAAGCCUGGCUUGGUGAUGGGACACUGCCUUUGAGAAAAGGCAGGUCCUGAAAUUCAGUGGCGAGCUCGCCAGGACCCCGAGCGCAGUAGUUAAACCCUCGCUUUGGAAGGUCUUGGUGCGGCCCUGCCGUUAAACCCCCAACUUC
rnacentral:rRNA from 1 species